rnacentral:rRNA from 1 species
UAUAUAUAUACCAGGUCGACGGCGUGCCUAUUGAAGAAUGAACCGGCGAGUUAUGAGGUCCAGCAAGGUUAAGCAGGAAAUGCGGAGCCGAAGCGAAAGCGAGUCUUAAUAGGGCAAUAAGUUGGAUUGCAUAGACCCGAAACCACAGUGAUCUACCCAUGUCCAGGCUGAAACACAGGUAAAAAUGUGCGGAGGGCCGAACCUAUAUCCGUUGAAAAGGGUUAGGAUGAGGUGUGGGUAGGGGUGAAAUUCCAAUCGAACGUGGAGAUAGCUGGUUCUCCCCGAAAUAGCUUUAGGGCUAGCCUCGAGGAGAGAUUGCAGGCGGUAGAGCACUGAUCAGGAGAGGGACCUACCCGGUUACCAAACCCAGUCAAACUGCGAAUGGCUGCAAUUAUACUCGGGAGUCAGACUACGACUUAUAAGGGCCGUGGUCAAAAGGGAAACAGCCCAGAUCAUCAGCUAAGGUCCCAAAUGCCGUGCUAAGUGGCGAAGGAUGUGGCGUUUCAUAAACAACCAGGAUGUUGGCUCAGAAGCAGCCACCAUUUAAAGAGUGCGUAAUAGCUCACUGGUCGAGAGACGCUGCGCCGAAAAUGUCCGGGGCUCAAGCACGGAACCGAAGCUAUGGCAUGACAGCGAUGUCAUGGGUAGGGGAGCGUUCUUAUAAGGAAGAAGCAUUACCGUAAGGAGAUGUGGACAUAUAAGAAGUGAGAAUGCCGGUAUGAGUAUCGAAAAGAAAGGUGAGAAUCCUUUCCACCGAAAGCCCGAGGGUUCCUGAGCAACGAUCGUCGACUCAGGGUAAGUCGGGACCUAAGCCGAGGCGGAGACGCAUAGGCGAUGGACAACAGGUUGAAAUUCCUGUACCGGAUGGAGUCAUUUGAGCGAAGGAGCGACGCAGGAGGGCACAUGAUCGCGCGGCUGGAAGAGCGCGUCCAAGUGCGUAUGCGUAGAGGGAGGCAAAUCCCCCUUUACAGAAGCAGAGACAUGAUGGGGAGUUAAAGGAGACUUUGACGAACUCAUGGAUCCCACACUGCCAAGAAAAACUUCUAGCGAGACGAAAUCCGCCCGUACCGUAAACCGACACAGGUAGGCGGGGAGAGAAUCCUAAGGUGCGCGGGAAAACCCUCGUUAAGGAACUCGGCAAAUUGCAUCCGUAACUUCGGGAGAAGGAUGACCCUGAGUAGGCGAAAGGGAGAAACCCCCGGAACAGAAAAGGGUGGCAGAAAAGAGGCCCAAGCAACUUUUUACCAAAAACACAGGUGCCUGCGAAAGCGAAAGCUGAAGUAUAGGUGCUGACGCCUGCCCGGUGCUGGAAGGUUAAGGAGAGAGGUCAGCGAAAGCGAAGCUUUGAACUGAAGCCCCAGUGAACGGCGGCCGUAACAAUAACGGUCCUAAGGUAGCGAAAUUCCUUGUCGGGUAAGUUCCGACCCGCAUGAAAGGCGUAAUGAUUUGGGCACUGUCUCAACGAGGGGCCCGGUGAAAUUGAAAUACCUGUGAAGAUGCAGGUUACCCGCGACUGGACAGAAAGACCCCUUGGAGCUUCACUGCAGCUUGAGAUUGAAUCCCGGUGACAUG